UAGGGAAUCUUCCACAAUGGGCGCAAGCCUGAUGGAGCAACACCGCGUGAGUGAAGAAGGGUUUCGGCUCGUAAAGCUCUGUUGUUAGAGAAGAACACGAGUGAGAGUAACUGUUCAUUCGAUGACGGUAUCUAACCAGCAAGUCACGGCUAACUACGUGCCAU
rnacentral:rRNA from 1 species